GAGGGCCGGGCCUGCGCCUCCGACGCUGACUUCCUCAGCGCAGCCACCACUGUCUCCGGUGGCAAGUCGACCAGCUCCUCCCACACGGAUUCUGUGUAGAAAUCCACGGACAAGGCUUUGCUUUUCGAAGAAAGCUGAGAAUACAGCAAAGUUACAAGAAAUUGCUACGGAAGGAAAAGAAGCCUCAAACGUCACUGGAAUCUCAAUUCACAGAUCGAUACCCAGAUAAUCUGAAACAUCUCUAUUUAGCUGAAGAGGAAAGACUUAGGAAGCAACCAAGAAAAGUCGACCAUCCUUUGUCAGAACAAGUUCACCAGCCUUUGCUUGAAGAACAGCGUAGCAUUGACCAGCCUUUAUUUGAAGAUCAGUGUAGCUUUGACCAGCCUCAGCCAGAACAAUGUAUUAAAACAGUGAACUGCUUUACAAUUCCAAAGAAAAAUAAAAAGAAAACAUCAAAUCAAAAAGCACAAGAAGAAUAUGAACAGGUACAAGCUAAACGUGCUGCUAAGAAACAAGAAUUCGAGAGGAGAAAACAGGAGAGAGAAGAAGCCCAAAGGCAGUACAAAAAGAAGAAAAUGGAAGUGUUUAAAAUAUUGAACAAAAAGACUAAAAAGGGCCAACCAAACUUGAAUGUACAAAUGGAGUACCUUCUUCAAAAAAUACAAGAAAAAUGUUAAACAUUUUAUUCCUACAGGUUAAAAUAUCUGCUGCCUAUUAGGUUCUUCUGUGACAAGUGCCUCCCAGCAGUGAACUAAAUUUGUCGACAUAAACUGGAUUGCUAAACUAUGCUAAAUAUAAGAUGUUCACAUAUUUUUAUUAUGGUAAAAAGUUUUCUAAAUAUGUUCUACAUAUGUUUCUUAUUUAUUUGCCUCUGAAGGAAGGUUGGCCUGAAGAACUGAAAGAACCUCUUAUUUGCCAGACAGGCCCAAGCAUGUAGUACUUUUGUACCACAUGAGAUUUAUAUGAAAUAAAUUUUUUUAAAA
rnacentral:sRNA from 1 species